rnacentral:rRNA from 1 species
AGCUCCAAUAGCGUAUAUUUAAGUUGUUGCAGUUAAAAAGCUCGUAGUUGGAUUUUGGGUCGGGGCGUCCGGUCCGCCGUACCGGUGUGCACUGGGUGCUCCUUCCUUUCUGCCGGGGACCUGCGGGCGUCUUAAUUGCCGUCCGCAGGGAGUCGGCGUUGUUACUUUGAAAAAAUUAGAGUGUUCAAAGCAAGCCAUCGCUCUGAAUACAUUAGCAUGGAAUAACAUGAUAGGACUCCGCUCUUAUUUUGUUGGUUUCCGAGACUGGAGUAAUGAUUAAGAGGGACAGUCGGGGGCAUCCGUAUUUCAUUGUCAGAGGUGAAAUUCUUGGAUUUAUGAAAGACGAACUUCUGCGAAAGCAUUUGCCAAGGAUGUUU